AGUGAACGCUGGCGGUAGGCCUAACACAUGCAAGUCGAACGGCAGCACAGUAAGAGCUUGCUCUUACGGGUGGCGAGUGGCGGACGGGUGAGGAAUACAUCGGAAUCUACUUUUUCGUGGGGGAUAACGUAGGGAAACUUACGCUAAUACCGCAUACGACCUACGGGUGAAAGCAGGGGAUCUUCGGACCUUGCGCGAUUGAAUGAGCCGAUGUCGGAUUAGCUAGUUGGCGGGGUAAAGGCCCACCAAGGCGACGAUCCGUAGCUGGUCUGAGAGGAUGAUCAGCCACACUGGAACUGAGACACGGUCCAGACUCCUACGGGAGGCAGCAGUGGGGAAUAUUGGACAAUGGGCGCAAGCCUGAUCCAGCCAUACCGCGUGGGUGAAGAAGGCCUUCGGGUUGUAAAGCCCUUUUGAUGGGAAAGAAAAGCAGCAGGUUAAUACCCCGCUGUUCUGACGGUACCCAAAGAAUAAGCACCGGCUAACUUCGUG
rnacentral:rRNA from 1 species